AUUAGUGCAAUUCACGGUUAAUUCGGGGCAUUGAGUCUUUAUAAUUUAUUGGAAGAACAACUGAAAAUCGUUUUGUUUGCAAGUGUGACAUGUGUGGAGAAGAACCUCCUAACUAGCCUUUUAUCCAUCUAGUUCACCAAAAUCGUUUUUACAAUCUGUGCUAGUUAAAGUUUCUGUUUUGUGUUAAAUUUUCGUCCAAAACAAAUCCCCCUU
rnacentral:lncRNA from 1 species